CAGUAGCCGCGGUAAAACGAAGGGGGCUAGCGUUGUUCGGAAUUACUGGGCGUAAAGCGCACGUAGGCGGAUCGAUCAGUCAGGGGUGAAAUCCCAGGGCUCAACCCUGGAACUGCCUUUGAUACUGUCGAUCUGGAGUAUGGAAGAGGUGAGUGGAAUUCCGAGUGUAGAGGUGAAAUUCGUAGAUAUUCGGAGGAACACCAGUGGCGAAGGCGGCUCACUGGUCCAUUACUGACGCUGAGGUGCGAAAGCGUGGGGAGCAAACAGGAUUAGAUACCCCAGUAGUCCCUGUCUCUUAUAC
rnacentral:rRNA from 1 species